UACGUAGGGGGCAAGCGUUGUCCGGAAUUAUUGGGCGUAAAGAGCGCGUAGGCGGUCCGGUAAGUCAGCUGUGAAAGUCAAGGGCUCAACCCUUGAAAGCCGGCUGAUACUGCCGGACUAGAGUCCGGAAGAGGCGAGUGGAAUUCCCGGUGUAGCGGUGAAAUGCGCAGAUAUCAGGAAGAACACCCGUGGCGAAGGCGGCUCUCUGGGACGGUACUGACGCUGAGACGCGAAAGCGUGGGGAGCGAACAGG
rnacentral:rRNA from 1 species